GAUGAAGAACGCAGCGAAAUGCGAUAAGUAAUGUGAAUUGCAGAUUUUCAGUGAAUCAUCGAAUCUUUGAACGCACCUUGCGCUCCCUGGUAUUCCGGGGAGCAUGCCUGUUUGAGUGUCAUUAAAUUCUCAACCCCGAUCGGAUUUGUUUUCGCAUUCGGAGGCUUGGAUAGUGGAGCGUGCUGGCCCCCUCUCAUGGGUCGGCUCCUCUCAAAUGCAUUCGCGGAAUCGACUUUGGUCCAUUUCGGUCAUCAGUGUGAUAAACGUUGCGCUGUUGGCUAGGAUCGAGGUGCCGCAUACAAUGGUCUUCGGACAAUUUUAUAAACCAUUUGACCUCAUAUCAGGUAGGACUACCCGCUGAACUUAAGCAUAUCAAUAAGCGGAGGA
rnacentral:misc_RNA from 1 species